AAGAAAAAGCACAAACUGCAUGAGUAAGAAGAGAAAAAGUUAAUGGCAUGCAAUAUUGACGUAUACAGCAAAUGUACUGGGAAUUAAAGAGAGAAGAGUACAUGAAAGGGCCAUCAGCUCAUCACUGGAGGUCUCCCGGGCACCUCUCCCUGUAGAAGCUUAUGAAAGAGAUGGUUCGCAUUCAGCUUUAACUGCAAGCUUUAUCAGAAUAGUUUUAGGCCUAUUCUAUUGAUAGGAAGGCAACAGCAACUCAAAUAACCACUCAUUACACCCAAAGUAACCAGAAGAGCAUCUCUUGAUGCACAGCAUGUUAAAGCUUGAGGCAGAUGGCCUACAGCAGCAGAAGACCACGUCAUGUAUUGUUUGGAUUUUUUGUGACAAGGUUAAAAUUUGCUCUUUUUGGACUUCUGGAGAGUCGUCAUUGUGUAUAGGUACUGCUCCGGAUUGUAAAACUUCCCAGCAGCCUACAUCAAUAGCAGCAUAGCAAAGGUAUGGAGUCACUUGUCAAGAUUGGUUCAUUGAAAUCUCUGCCAAGGAUGCCAGGUAUCUGUCAUCAUCCUAAAAUUGGAGUAUUUGGACAGGAGAGAUCAGGAAAGUGGAGGUGUGAAAGUGACCCAGAUGACUCUACAACUUGCUUGUAUCCGCCACACAAUUGUUGACUACUGUCAGUACCAACCUUUUAUCAAAUGUCCCAGAGGAAAUAUGCACAUGCAACUCUGUCAUUACUGUUACUGUUGCCUAAAUAAGUCUUCGGUGUUUCUGAUUGUAAUUUGACAAUAUCAUACUGAGCGUGUGGCCCUGUGUUGGCUAUUUCCUCAGUGCUAUAUGUGAGCUCAGCCUUGACUGAACAUGGGUUUGAUGAUUUGCUAGACUUUGCUUAGGUUCCAAUUUCACCAUUGAUUUUUUUUUUUUUUUUUAUAACUAGAGCAUCCUCUCCUGGGCUUUGUCACUGUUACUGAUGUGUGUGGGUUUUUUUUAACCUAUAAUGAUCACUCUCUAUGUAGCUGUGUAACUAAAUUAGUAGUGAUGUGUACACAGUACAUGCUGAGGAGACAAAGACAGCUAAUGUCAAUUAAUAUCAAUUAUAAUAUCUAUCUAAAAUACACCAACAUUAACAAAUUUACAAAUAACCCACUGGUAACAUGAGAACAAGUGAGCCUGUGAAAGUAAAACUGCUAAACUCCUGAAUGUACUUCACUUAUGAGUCAUUUUUAAAACGAUAAAAGUGUUGAUUCUGCUGUCCAAAGUUACAUAAAUAGGUUUUCGCCCUAACUUCAUUCUUUAUUUAUUUCACCACUUUUUGACUUCUUGCCCCUGGGUUGCACAUACUGGCUUGGUUUUGUUGGACAACUGCCCUUGAAUAAACACUGCAGAUGGUCUGGAUGACCUCAGCUGAAAUACUGUAGCCAUAAUUGCUGACUUGCUCAGCCACCCUUUAAACUGCACUUCUUCCAUGAUAUCUUCCAAGAUAUAAAAAUAUUAGGACAGUAAAAGUGGAAUUUCU
ensembl:lncRNA